rnacentral:lncRNA from 1 species
CUCAUCAUGCUUAAUUACACAUCCCAAUAUUUCGCUCUCACGAGAAGAUCAGUGCCUUGCAGUUUCUUCGCUCUCUCGAUCAAUUGGUGGAAGACAGAUUGUUACAAUCUUGCUUCUGAUUCAGCUUUUCUUCUUGAUAUUUUGCUGUCAUCAGAUGUCGAUGGUCGUUCUGAAAUAUAUGUGCUUUUGAUAGACAUCCCAACAAAGAGAUGAUAUAUGGAGAUUUGCCUGAAAAAGUAUUAUCGUAAUCCAUACAUUUAUUAGAUUUUAUAAAUUUAUUUUAACACAAAAUUGAUUGUCGGAGAGUUCUAAAAUUUCAACCGAAUCUUGUACUAAAAGUCAAAUAUAUUAUUUUUUUUACCAGAGUAGGUUCAUACUUUGGUCAAACCUCCUUUCCCUGCGGGGUGAAUAGAAGUUGCAAACCACAUUUGCAUGCCGUUUCAGUACCUUCCUUUCCUUAUUGUAGUGAAGAAUUGAAGGAUGGUACUUCACUGCAUAUACAUUGCAAUGGAUCUGUCUACUCAGAAUCUGAGUUUAGGCUCUCAGCUUCUCCUUUGUUUCUUUCCCUUGUCUUCUGAUAGGAAAGCUACAUGCUAGGAACUGAUCAUCAUCUCUUAGUUUCUGUGUAGGAAACUCCUAUUUUGGAUCAUGUGUGUUGUCAUGUUCCCUUAAGCCUAUUCCCUUUUUGGGAGAAAGAUCACCAAUUCUGAAUGUUAGAAGGAACAAACUGAGACAAAUCAUCUGAUUGCAACAUUUACCUUGUUUAGAACUACCUUUUAAUUUUUUUUUCAGUGGAUCAAACUUGCAACACUGUGAGAUUUCUG